rnacentral:lncRNA from 1 species
UGUUUUGAGACCGUGCCCGGCUGUUUCCAGGGUUCUAAAUACAGCACCGUUAAGAUGAACUGGCAAACAGAACAGCAUAGACGAGGUUUUGUCAUGUUGCCCAGGCUGGUCUCCAACUCCUGAGCUUAGGUGAUCCACCCACCUUGGCCUCCCAAAGUGUUAGGAUUACAGGUGUGAGCCACCACACCUGGCCAGGUAUUAUUCUUUACCUUUCUGCAAUCUAACUGAAAAAGGUCUCAUUGUUUUAAUGCACAUUUCUCAAUGAUGAAACACCCACCCAAGGCUUCUAUACCAUGCAGAAUGAUGCCUCUCUCCACUGGCUGCCCUGAGCACAUGCCAUGAAGAAUGAAAGCCAGGAGACAAAGGAACAAACUAGUUCAUCAUUAAAACCUGUAUGCUUUCCCUUGGAUCACAACUUUCUUUUUUUUUUUUUUUUUUUUUUUUUGAGACGGAGUCUCACUCUGUCGCCCAGGCUGGAGUGCAGUGGCACGAUCUCGGCUCACUGCAAACUCCGCCUCCCGGGUUCACA